GAGAAUAUCAAUUUUACAAACUACUUUACACUACCUAUCCGGCCCUCACGUCACUCUAUGUUGCGUUGUGUCCACUCAAGAAUUAAUGCAUUCAGGCACUCCUUUUUACCAGAUUACCAUUCAUCUGGAAUAAACUACCAGAAAAGGUCUCAAAUGCUGCCUCGUACCAUAGAUAGUAAAGGAAAGGGAUUGGAAACGCAUCACGUGCACCAAUGUUUUCAACAGAGUCUGGAUGGCACAUCCACUUACGAUUUUUAAUGUUAUUCAUUGCUAGUCAAAAGGUCAUUUGCUGUUUUUAAAGCUAUAUUUUUGGACCUCAAGAUCAUUCUUUCAGCGUUCAAGCCAAUUAAGAUGUGAAGCAAAAAGCUCGUAAGAAAAAAUUCAAGUCAUCCUCGACCUCAACCAGAUCCUACCCUCUCUCGACAAAACAAAAGCAUCUAGGAAGAUAUAAAUUCAACCAUAAGACACUUAGUAACCUCACCUGUCACCUCAUCAUUAAGUACAUAUAUACAUGUUUAGUUUUGCUUGUGUGUAUACACUGUAGUUUUGUAACCACUUACUUUAAACAUUAUAUAAUUUAUUGACAUCCCUUAGAGUACAGUAUUACACUUAUGAUUAGUGUCAAGACGGAGUUUAGUAAGAUAAUAAAUACAUUGUUGUCGUGUUUAUAAUUAUGUAACUAAAAUAGAUCUACUGAUAUGGAUGCCAUCAUGAAGCCCUUAUCCUUUAAC